rnacentral:rRNA from 1 species
UGAACGCUAGCUACAGGCUUAACACAUGCAAGUCGAGGGGCAGCAUUGGAGUAGCAAUACUCAGAUGGCGACCGGCGCACGGGUGAGUAACACGUAUCCAACCUGCCGCUUACUCGGGGAUAGCCUUUCGAAAGAAAGAUUAAUACCCGAUGGUAUAAAGAGUUCGCAUGUUCUCUUUAUUAAAGAAUUUCGGUAAGCGAUGGGGAUGCGUUCCAUUAGAUAGUUGGCGGGGUAACGGCCCACCGAGUCUACGAUGGAUAGGGGUUCUGAGAGGAAGGUCCCCCACAUUGGAACUGAGACACGGUCCAAACUCCUACGGGAGGCAGCAGUGAGGAAUAUUGGUCAAUGGACGAGAGUCUGAACCAGCCAAGUAGCGUGAAGGAUGACUGCCCUAUGGGUUGUAAACUUCUUUUAUAAGGGAAUAAAGUGAGGGACGUGUCCCUUUUUGUAUGUACCUUAUGAAUAAGGAUCGGCUAACUCCGUGCCAGCAGCUGC